rnacentral:rRNA from 1 species
UACGUAGGGCGCAAGCGUUGUCCGGAAUUAUUGGGCGUAAAGGGCUCGUAGGCGGUCUGUCACGUCGGGAGUGAAAACACGGGGCUUAACCCCGUGCCUGCUUCCGAUACGGGCAGACUAGAGGUAUGCAGGGGAGAACGGAAUUCCUGGUGUAGCGGUGAAAUGCGCAGAUAUCAGGAGGAACACCGGUGGCGAAAGCGGCCAACUGGACGAAUACUGACGCUGAGACUCGAAAGCGUGGGGAGCAAACAGG